rnacentral:lncRNA from 1 species
AGCCAUGGAAAUAAUAUUGGCUGCUCCCUGCAUUGGAGAUAACUCUCUGUGAGAUGCUGGCUCAGAUUCUUCCUUCCCCCGGUGAGACCAACUUCAGAACUUAAAUCCAAUAUAUAAAGGCAGAGAGGGAAAUGUUUAAUUGUCCGGGCUCUGCUGCAGGCUGAUAAGCCCGCAUUGAUUUUCUGUAGCAAAGUCUCCAGAGCGUACGUGUUGGUGUGUGUGCGGGACGUGCAUGAAUGUUUCCUGCUCCUUUGGUAUUUCUGGUCUCCCAUUGCAUGGCGAAAGCUUGAUGCUUCCUCCAGAAAAUGGCCAUUUACAGAGCAAUUAGACUUUUUCCUUGCUUGCUUGUUUUUUCCUCCUUUCAGCUUGGCUUGCUACACUUUCCCUACCAGAGCUGGGAGAGAGGACUUGGGGAAGGUGGCCCUUCACCAGCACGUGUCCCUCAACCUGGAGCUAGAAGGAACAAGCCCCACUACGAAUUGCUGCCUGGCUAUCAAUAACCGCUCCAACAUGGGCUGCCUGAGCUGGUGGCCGGGCUCUGUUCCUGGAGAGUGCACUUUUAUUUAAUAAAACAGCGCUGCAUACAAACGAAAAGGUGUGCUGAGCUCGCUUCUCCUACCUGAUAUUUAUGGAUGGAAAUAGGAGCGUUUAUUUGGCCAACGUGUAUUAAAAGGGCUGUGCAAACCUUAUUUUCUUUGUUUCAGACCCGCUCAUGACUUAAAGCUCAAAGCUGCUCACCUGAGAGCUGAUUUCCAAGCAGCAGUAACCUCUUUUUGGGAGCAAAGGACCUCCUCGCGUGGAUGAAAGCCUCUCGCCAUCAUAACCACCAUGUUCCUAAGGGGUUCAGAUAAAGCUCAGAGGCCACAAGGUAAGGCUGGAGAUGGAAAAACCUUCUCAUUUUGCUCCCUAGCUCUGGGCUGUAUGGAAAAUCAGCUCAGAAGACAGUGUGGUGGAGGGUUGUACCCAUAAAACCACAUCUCUGAAAAAGGAAUGCAUUAUCUAUUUUAAAGGAAUAAAUGAGUAGCAAACCUCUGGGUCUUUUACGAA